UGUCAAUUUUAAUUAAACAUGGUGGCAAAUGGAAUUCAUCAGCCUCAAGAAUUUCAAAGAUGCUUAUGCCAUUCCUGUCGAGCGUACAUGGGAUAUACGAAGUUAUAUUUCAUAUCCUAAAUUAAUGCCGCCUGGUCCAAAAAGAGCAGUAGAAAGACCCAAACUUGAACGGCGGAAGGGGUUCGCAGAUGUGAAAUUCAAGAAGACAAAAAGAACAUGCAGUAGAUGCCAUCAGGUUGGACACAAUAGGAAGACUUGUUCAAAUUAUCCUGUACAAAAACAAUGAUGUCGUAAUGUUAAAUCUGUGUUUUUGAGGCAUUACAUUGUUAUAAAAUGUUUUUUAUUGAAUAA